GGGUAUAUAGCUCAGUGGUAGAGUACAUGCCUAGCAUGCACGAGGUCCUGAGUUCAAUCCCCAGUACCUCCA
rnacentral:tRNA from 1 species